rnacentral:rRNA from 1 species
GAUGAACGCUGGCGGCGUGCCUAAUACAUGCAAGUCGAGCGAACGGACGAGAAGCUUGCUUCUCUGAUGUUAGCGGCGGACGGGUGAGUAACACGUGGAUAACCUACCUAUAAGACUGGGAUAACUUCGGGAAACCGGAGCUAAUACCGGAUAAUAUUUUGAACCGCAUGGUUCAAAAGUGAAAGACGGUCUUGCUGUCACGUAUAGAUGGAUCCGCGCUGCAUUAGCUAGUUGGUAAGGUAACGGCUUACCAAGGCAACGAUGCAUAGCCGACCUGAGAGGGUGAUCGGCCCCACUGGAACUGAGACACGGUCCAGACUCCUACGGGAGGCAGCAGUAGGGAAUCUUCCGCAGUGGGCGAAAGCCUGACGGAGCAACGCCGCGUGAGUGAUGAAGGUCUUCGGAUCGUAAAACUCUGUUAUUAGGGAAGAACAUAUGUGUAAGUAACUGUGCACAUCUUGACGGUACCUAAUCAGAAAGCCACGGCUACCUACGU